UACAGAGGGCCCAAGCGUUGUUCGGAUUCACUGGGCGUAAAGGAUGCGUAGGCGGUCGGGUAAGUCUGACGUGAAAUCUUCAAGCUCAACUUGGAAACUGCGUCCGAUACUAUUCGGCUAGAGGAAUGGAGGGGAGACUGGAAUACUUGGUGUAGCAGUGAAAUGCGUAGAUAUCAAGUGGAACACCAGUGGCGAAGGCGGCCGUCUGGACGGUGACUGACGCUGAGACGCGAAAGCGUGGGGAGCAAACAGG
rnacentral:rRNA from 1 species